GCGGAUGUAGCUCAGUCGGUUAGAGCGCUGGAUUGUGGCUCCGGAGGCCGUGGGUUCGACCCCCAUCAUUCGCC
rnacentral:tRNA from 1 species